rnacentral:rRNA from 1 species
GAUGAACGCUGGCGGCGUGCUUAACACAUGCAAGUCGAACGGAAAGGCCCUGCUUUUGUGGGGUGCUCGAGUGGCGAACGGGUGAGUAACACGUGAGUAACCUGCCCCUGUCUUUGGGAUAACUUCAGGAGACUCGGGCUAAUACCGGAUAGGAGCUCCUGCUGCAUGGUGGGGGUUGGAAAAUUUCGGCGGUUGGGGCUGGACUCGCGGCUUAUCAGCCUGUUGGUGGGGUAGUGGCUUACCAAGGCUUUGACGGGUAGCCGGCCUGAGAGGGGGACCGGCCACAUGGGGACUGAGAUACGGCCCAGACUCCUACGGGAGGCAGCAGGGGGGAGUAUGGCACAAUGGGCGGAAGCCUGAUGCGGCAACGCCGCGUGCGGGAUGACGGCCUUCGGGUUGUAAACCACUUUCGCCUGUGACGAAGCGUGAGUGACGGUAAUGGGUAAAGAAGCACCGGCUAACUACGUG